GAAGCAGCGUAUUUCUCGAGCGCAGGAUGAUGUGGACCUCCUUGUGAUUUACUUGAUCGUCAAGAAGAGUUAGUAGCGCUUCGGAUUGAUCACGAGGGACAACUUCUCUUGAUCACUCCUUCUUGUUUUCUUCAAUUCGAGGGACAAUGUAGUGUAUUUCUCGAACGAAACGAGUUCCUUGUGAUGUGUUGAAUCUUCAAUGAACUUCCAUCAGCACUUCAGAUUGAUCUUGAGGAAGAACGUCUCGUGGAUCUCUCCUUGCUUGAAAUCUUCAAUGAACUUCCAUCAGCACUUUAGAUUGAUCUUGAGGAAGAACGUCUCGUGGAUCUCUCCUGCUUGUUAGAGAACCUUGGAGAAAACUAUUACGUUGAUCCCUUCUUGUGAUCGAUUUUAGCACUAGCAUGGUUCGCUUCGGCCAUGUCAUUAGCAUCAAUGAUGAUCUUUCCAUCUCUCUCCAACGUCAUGAUCUUCUCCUUUAAGACGAAGCAUCUUGCUGUAGGGUGACUGAUGAUGCGGUGAUAUUUGCAAUACUUGGGAUCAUCCACCUCUUUUAGAUCUUUCACCGCGUCGCUGAGAUUCAAUGAUUCCAUCAUAGGCCCUUUCUCUACAGCCUAGAGAUCCUAUAAGCUUUCGGGGCUCUGUAGAGAUGGGAGCGGAUUCAGUGAAAUAGGAGGCUCAAGUGGUUCAUCCGCUUAUUCAAGGGAUAUUCUAAGAGGAAAGUACGCUAUUCGUCGGUGAGGGAUCUAUGGUAGCUCGUCUAUCUCUUAGCAUCGAUGGCAGGCCUACUUUUACAGCUUGAGACUUCCUUUGCCUUUGAAAGGUUGGAAUCCAGGAAUCGUGGACUAGAGCCCUUAUUCUAGGUCGAUGUGCCACCAAUACAUUCUACCUUUGAAAUCUGGCUUUACCUGGGCCGCUUCUCGACCGAGAUCCCUUCGAUGGAUGUCACCGUGCUUGUCUCUUCUCAACUGGAUUUGGCUUCUAUUUAAGACUUUUUGAAUAUUGAAUCUAACUACUAGCAUCGGUCCCGGCAAAGACCCCUCUUUCGUUCGAGCAAAGGGCGCCUAACCUGAAAGAGGAAAUAGGGGUUUUCCUCGAUGCGAAAGAGCUAGAUCAGUAGUUUAUCUGGGACGAAUUCCUUUUUACUUUUCUUAGUAAUGGUAACGAAGGUAUGCCAAGGGAAGCUCGGGCCAACCUAUGUCUCAGUAGCUGCCCGAGAAAGAACCACUCAAUCCAGACAGGUUCUCGCAACUGCCUUUCAAACAGGACCUCGAGAGGCAAGCCAUGAAAGUACCGCUAGGUAGGGAGCGAGCUCCUACUUCAUUGAAUGUCUGAUGAAAAUGGGGGCUUCCAACUGAGAUUCAUGAAGAGAAGAGAGGACCCGACGUCACAACCUGUGUCGAGCCUAUGAAAGAGUAUGCCCGAGUGGAACUGAGAAGAUCAAAUGACCCGACAGAGCAGGAAGUGACCAAGUGCAGUUGACUACAGAACCUGCCCUUUACCGUCGUUGCUAAAGCAAACAGCCAAAGCUUUCCUGUUGAUUUCGCAGGCAGCCGAUUUUUCAUGCUUUGGUCUCAUUAUCUCACCUAGCGAGACCGCCCCACCACAGAGAGCUAGGCCUGGGUGCAAGUCAACAUAAAGAUCAAAUGACCCGACAGAGCAGGAGGUGACCAAGUGCAGUUGACUACAGAACCUGCCCUUUACCGUCAUUGCUAAAGCAAACAGCCAAAGCUUUCCUGUUGAUUUUGCAGGCAGCCGAUUUUCAUGCUUUGGUCUCAUUAUCUCACCUAGCGAGACCGCCCCACCACAGAGAGCUAGGCCUGGGUGCAAGUCAACAUAUUAGAAUAUCAGACUGAUGUGGCAUUCCCGACUUGAAAAGGGUUGGUAGACUUCAAGCUGGGUCAGCUAGACCUAAGUAAGUAGGCAUCGAAGGAGGAUUGUAGUAAGGAGUUUUGCGAUUUGACUACUUUUUAGUAGAAGAACCUAGUGAGCCAAUUCCUACUCGUUCGGAGUCUUCUGUGGAGCUUUCUUCUCUGAUGCAAUUCCGAGUGGAAGAACUUCUGACUUCCCCCAAAGAGCUUAAUAGCUCUGAGUGAAGCUCCUGAGUUUCCAUUAGCCCCUUUUCUAAUUGAAGGAAGAAAGCUAUUGAGCCAAUCAUUCAAUAAAGAAAAUAAGUAAAGAAAAAGAAAGGUGAACAAGAAGGGAAUAAGCUCUCAAGCCUCGGAGGAGAGCAAUCUCUUGUGGAAAAAAGGCAAUUGCCUGGCAAGAUCCGACUAAGCCAAUCUUGAUUCUCUCUGAAUGCUUCAAAGAAGAAGAGUCAGCCGGGAAUCCAAUUUAUGCGCUUGUCUUCCUUGCUGGAUGUGGAACUGUAAUUCAUCCUCAACUGGUAGAAGAACUUCGCCUUUCUUCUUCUUCCUGAAAUGAAAUGAAGAGAAAGAAGGUGCCCGGCCUAAAAGACUGGUGGAAAAAGCUCUUUUUGUUGGUCAAGACCUUUUGUUGAACUAAGUAAGUCUGUUUUCUAAAAGAAGUAGUUUUCCUCUCA
rnacentral:lncRNA from 1 species